rfam:Gossypium hirsutum cultivar TM-1 chromosome 5, whole genome shotgun sequence
CACGUCAGCGCGCUUUGCUGACGUGGCAACAAAUCGCGUCCACGAGGGGGCGAUUUGUUGCCAUGUCAGCAAAGCGCGCUGACGUGG